CCCCUCGCCUCAGCCUAUCCCAGGCCUCUCUUCCGGUGACAUCACGUCUCCUAGCAACCGCGGGACGGUGGGCAGGGCCGGAAGUAGGGAAGCCGGGUGCCCCAGAUCCCGGCCUCGGAAAAAUGCGUUUUUGUCGCUGGCACCCACUGAGGAGCUGACAGAUUAUAGACUGUUUGGAUGUUGGCAGGAAAAGUCUCGAAGGGUUUGGGGAACUGUAGGAGAGUGGUCCCUGAGAACAAGAAAGGGGAUGGAUCCAGAGCCCAUGUGGAGGAGUUGGCAGCAUUGAAAUGCCCAUGAGGACGGAAUUUCAGUGGACAUGUGAUGGAGAGGAAUUCAGUGAGACUCAAAGCAAGUACAAGGUGUUGAGUCCUCAUGGCACUCAUCAGAAAUUACCACACACGUUUCUGUCAGAGUUCUUUCCCAGGGAGACUGACCAUCAGCUUUUGAAGACCCUGAUUUGAAGAACCAUCCUAUUAAUAUUUUAGUAAGUUUUUUUAUGUCACUCAGAGGACUAUUUUAUUUACCUGAUCUCAGGAAGAGAUAAUUUUUGGUUGAUCUUUUUGUUUGUUUCACAUCACAAUAGAAGAGUAUUUUUGGAAAAUGUGAAAAUAAAUAAAA